rnacentral:rRNA from 1 species
AACGAACGCUGGCGGCAGGCUUAACACAUGCAAGUCGAGCGCCCCGCAAGGGGAGCGGCAGACGGGUGAGUAACGCGUGGGAAUCUACCCAUCUCUACGGAAUAACGCAUGGAAACGUGUGCUAAUACCGUAUACGUCCUUCGGGAGAAAGAUUUAUCGGAGAUGGAUGAGCCCGCGUUGGGUUAGCUAGUUGGUGGGGUAAAGGCCUACCAAGGCGACGAUCCAUAGCUGGUCUGAGAGGAUGAUCAGCCACACUGGGACUGAGACACGGCCCAGACUCCUACGGGAGGCAGCAGUGGGGAAUAUUGGACAAUGGGCGCAAGCCUGAUCCAGCCAUGCCGCGUGAGUGAUGAAGGCCCUAGGGUUGUAAAGCUCUUUCACCGGUGAAGAUAAUGACGGUAACCGGAGAAGAAGCCCCGGCUAACUUCGUGCCAGCAGCCGCCGUAAGAC